rnacentral:rRNA from 1 species
GGGAAUUUUGGACAAUGGGGGCAACCCUGAUCCAGCCAUCCCGCGUGUGCGAUGAAGGCCUUCGGGUUGUAAAGCACUUUUGGCAGGGAAGAAACGGCGCGGGCUAAUAACCUGUGCUAAUGACGGUACCUGCAGAAUAAGCACCGGCUAACUACGUGCCAGCAGCCGCGGUAAUACGUAGGGUGCAAGCGUUAAUCGGAAUUACUGGGCGUAAAGCGUGCGCAGGCGGUUCGGAAAGAAAGGUGUGAAAUCCCAGGGCUUAACCUUGGAACUGCACUUUUAACUACCGGGCUAGAGUACGUCAGAGGGGGGUAGAAUUCCACGUGUAGCAGUGAAAUGCGUAGAGAUGUGGAGGAAUACCGAUGGCGAAGGCAGCCCCCUGGGAUGAUACUGACGCUCAUGCACGAAAGCGUGGGGAGCAAACA